rnacentral:rRNA from 1 species
ACGGGUGGUAAUGCCGGAUGCUCCGACUCCUCGCAUGGGGUGUCGGGAAAGAUUUCAUCGGUAUGGGAUGGGGUCGCGUCCUAUCAGGUAGUCGGCGGGGUAACGGCCCACCGAGCCUACGACGGGUAGCCGGCCUGAGAGGGCGACCGGCCACAUUGGGACUGAGAUACGGCCCAGACUCCUACGGGAGGCAGCAGUGGGGAAUAUUGCACAAUGGGCGCAAGCCUGAUGCAGCGACGCCGCGUGCGGGAUGACGGCCUUCGGGUUGUAAACCGCUUUUGAUCGGGAGCAAGCCUUCGGGUGAGUGUACCUUUCGAAUAAGCACCGGCUAACUACGUGCCAGCAGCCGCGGUAAUACGUAGGGUGCAAGCGUUAUCCGGAAUUAUUGGGCGUAAAGGGCUCGUAGGCGGUUCGUCGCGUCCGGUGUGAAAGUCCAUCGCUUAACGGUGGAUCUGCGCCGGGUACGGGCGGGCUGGAGUGCGGUAGGGGAGACUGGAAUUCCCGGUGUAACGGUGGAAUGUGUAGAUAUCGAAAAAGAACACCA